rnacentral:rRNA from 1 species
GACGAACGCUGGCGGCGUGCUUAACACAUGCAAGUCGAACGGAAAGGCCCUGCUUGCAGGGUACUCGAGUGGCGAACGGGUGAGUAACACGUGGGUGAUCUGCCCUUCACUUCGGGAUAAGCCUGGGAAACUGGGUCUAAUACCGGAUAGGAGCCAUUUUUAGUGUGAUGGUUGGACAGUUUUUUCGGUGUAGGAUGAGCUCGCGGCCUAUCAGCUUGUUGGUGGGGUAAUGGCCUACCAAGGCGGCGACGGGUAGCCGGCCUGAGAGGGUGGACGGCCACACUGGGACUGAGAUACGGCCCAGACGCCGACGGGAGGAAGCAGGGGGGAAGAUUGAACAAGGGGCGCAGGCCUGAUGCAGCGACGCCGCGGGGGGGAGGACGGCCUUCGGGUUGUAAAAUCCUUUCGCGAGGGACGAAGCUUUUUGUGACGGUACCUAGAGAAGAAGCACCGGCUAACUACGUG